UCUGUGUCCCUCCCUCUCCCCCGCCUCCCCUCCCCCCCAAAAAAAUCUCUCGCGUGCUAUUCGGAACAUGAGCUCCGCUGGAUUUCCGGAUGGGGAUGUGGCGACUUUGAAACGCGAUCAAGAGAGGUGCGCCUAGGAGGGUAGCAAUCCGCUCCGCUUUCCAAACUGUAAAAAAUAGGGUGAACUGCUUGGGAAGUGACUGGAAAGACAGAUUGUGUUUGUGUCCUUUGGUGGCUGGCUUGGGUGCUCCGUGCUGGCGUUGGGUCCUUUUUUUCCCCUUGGGUUUUUCUAUCUUUUUUUUUUAUUUUCUUUUUCUUUUGGCUUCUUUCAGCUUUGAUUGGAGCGGAGGGCGAGGGAGACGUUCUGGUUCUCACCCCGCCGAAUCGGAAGCUGGGUUUAAUUUUUGAAAUUGCUGCUUCGGUCCAUUUCCGCAGCCCGGGUGAACACCUUCACUCGUUUGGCGGGAACGUAGGCAAGAGCGCAAAAGUUUAAAUAGUAAAUUAUUAUUAUUAUUAUUAUUUCUUUCCGUUUCUCUUCGUUACAAAGCAGGGAAGGGUUUGUAAUCCAUGGGAAGAAAAUGGCAUUAUAAAACUCUUAAAACAAGAGCUGCAUAAUUUACCAAUCUCUGAAAUUCCUCUUCAUGCUCUCUAAAACUGUGGCAUAUUUUGGACUCUCAAUUCCCAGUCUUGGAAAAUGCAAGAGAAACCCCACCCACAAAUCGUGGUUUAAAACCCGUCAUGGUUAAGCCCAAACCGAGUGCCUUCUCUCUUGGUUUGCUGUGUGAACCGAACUGUCAGCCAUAAGGCAUUUGGGAAGCCCCCUGGCCGUGUCUUCUGAUAAAUUAAGCAGACCUGCUCAAGAUGGCAAAUUCUGAAGGUGUGUUGUGUUCUCUUUUUUGUGGUGAGGGGGCUGGUUCAGUUGAUGGUUCCGACAGCCCACCGUGGAGAUUUUGGAUGGUUGGUUCUCCAAACCUAGAUAUUGCUGUGAGGUUGCAACUGCUUGGAGGUCACAGAAGAUGAGGAGGAGCUACCGCAAGCUUAAGAGAGCCAUUUUACUUUCUAGAGGAGAUGAAUGUUGGCUGGAAAGCAGAGUGGUUUUACAGCUCUUAGCAAGAAGGUAGACCUGAGUUGGAUCUUUUCUGAUCCCAGCAACUGAGUGAAGCUACUGCUGACUGUGUAUCCCAGAGAUCUAGGAUCUAGCCAUGGGGAAGGAUAUUAUUUAAGAUUUAUCGCUAACCUUUCUUGUUAAGCUUUCGUUCCAAGUUAAGCUCUAUUGCUUAACACAUUAAGGUCUAUUGCUAAUCCUUUCUCUGUGUUAAAUUCUAUUGUUAAAUUUUCGUGUUAAGCUCUAUAGCUAAACCACUAUGGCUAAUGUUUCUUGUUCCAUUCUAUAGCUAACCAUUCUCCUCAAGCACUAUAGCUAAUCCUCUUUUGUUAAGCGCUAUAGCUAACUUGUUAAAUCAUGUGGCUUUUAGUUCUUAAGCUCUAUAGCUGAGCCUUCUCCUUGUUAAACUCUAUGGCUGACUAACUCCUCUUGUUAAGCUCUAUAGCUAAAUGUUCUUGUUAAGCUCUACAGCUAAAUUUUCUUGCUAAGCUCUACAGCUAACUUUUCUCCUCCUUCAGAUCUACGGCUAACUCUUCUUAUUACUCUCCACUGCUGAUCCUUCCCCUAGUUCUUGUAUCUCUCUUGGGCUGUGGCUGGAACUGGCACCUGGUAACGUCGUCUGUGGGGGACUGAUAGACUCCUCAAACAACCACAACAGUCGGGAAUAAAUUUCAGGUGGCAGCCUUCUCUUUUGCGUAACUGUAAAUCUGCAAGGCGCCCUCCCUGGCUCGCUGGCUCACGUAGCACACCCCGAGAAGUGUCCAGAAUGCAUACCUUGUAUAGGAUGUAAUUAUGCCACAAAAUGUGCGUUGUUAAAAGCUGAAGGGAAUCCCGCGCCUUGGUCUGGAUUUGAACUGGAUCUUGGCGGUAUUACCUGCACGGCCAAAGUCCCAGUUCCUUUUGCACUGGGUGCACCGAAGUGGGUUUCAGACACCCUGUUAACCCUCCAUUAGUGACAAUAUUAUUUUUUGGGGGGGGAGGGGGAAUUGGGAAUGUCUUUGCAGGCCGAGCAGUCCCCAAAUGGUUUGCCUCGAGAAGGUAAAACUCCCGCUUAGCCUUUGAAUAAAUGUACACCGUGUCCUUCCAGCGGGCCUCUGGGAACCCCUAAUAGUAAUUGUUCUCCGGCUCUUGUACCUGACACCCCUUUCCUCUCCUCCCCCCCCCCCCCCCCCAAAAAAAGUUGUCUAUUUGCUCCCUCUCAGCCCUUCCAUUCCGCAAUAUCACCAACCUUCCCCGGGAGAACGUGCCUGCAAAAGAGUUUUGGUGCAUUGCAGCAUUUUCACGAUGCAACCUGGUUUAAGGGAAGGAAAUUGCAACUCGCUCCCUCUCUCUCCCACUCACCCACCCUCUUGCUUUUCCCCUAAGCAAGCAGGACAAAACUGAGAUGGAAAUCACUAACCAAGCCAGCGACUUUCCUGUCCCUGCCAAGACCAGGUGCCAGAGGUUUUUUGGGGGGGGGGGUGUAUUUCCCCCCUUUCCCCCAAUGUGGGCAUUCCUUCAUUUUGGAAACAGGCCAAAAUAUCCUGGGUUCAGGGCGGGAAGUCUCAGUGAGUUGCGUGGAUGUCAGGAUGUGGGAGACUCUGGUUUGGGGUCUGGGAGAAGUCAAAUCUUCCUCUCCGACUUUUUCAUCGGUGAUCCAAAAUUCCAGAAGAAAGAGAGGGCUGUAAAGCACUAUAAAGCGGUAUAUAAGUCUAAGUGCUGUUGCUAUUACCUAUAACCCAUCGGCUUCUCCUAAUCCGUUCCUCGCUGGAACAAGGCGGGUUCCAGGACUUUCCAAGCCAAAGUUUUGACUUAUUAUUGAGAUGGGAUCGGGAGUCACACCUGAACAGAGGAAUUUUUUUUUUAUCAACUUGGGGGCGGUUUUACAAUGGGUGGACUCCCAAGAUUCCCCAACCAGAGGGGUGGAAUUCUGGGAGUUGAAGUCCACUUGGAAAGACUUUUAAGAUGGAGAUUUUUUUUUUCCUCUCCAUUUUUCAAGUUUCCUUCCCACGGCAGGUUUCAUAUGCAGCGCCUCUUUUGCAUUAUUAUUGUUAUUAUUAUUUUUCCUCCCAGUGGGUUCUUCAUGCAUUUUUUCUACUCCAUUCCUGAAGAUUUGCGUUAUCGCACCUUAAAAAAGUUUUAAUCCAAGAAAACUCUUAUUAAACAGCAAGAAGGACCCGUUCGGUCCUAGGGAAAAUUUUCUUGGUCCAUUUGGGAAUAAUAAAGGUUUAUUGUUUCUCUUCCUCUCUUGCCCAUUUCACUCCAAGGGAGGGUAAACACACACGACCCUCUUUUAAGACCUCAAAACCUCCCCAUUUCUUUUCAAAGUACAUUUGGGGUUUUUUAACGAGGACAUUUAAUUUAGGAUCUUGGGGUGGGUGGGUUUGGUCCUUUUUCCCUUUUUUAAAAAAAAUACAUAUAUAUAUAUAUAAAAUAACAGUAUUUCUGUGAUGGGGCUAAUACCAAUUGAGGGUUUUAAUUUCUCUAUAAUGUGAUUUUUCCUGCUGUGGAACAGGUGUAUAAAUUAAAGAAUUCAUAACG